ACAAAUACAUUUGUUAUACUGUGAUGCCAUUAGAAAGAAUUGCAUUUGAUCAUCUGCCUUGGUCUUCUCUGAACAAUUUCAACUGAAAUAAAAGCACUGCAGUAAUAUUUGUACUAAAAAUCCCACUGGAUUGAUAAAAGAUAGUGUCAAAAACCUGUUUCUUUGAAAUAUUGGGAAGAUUCCCAGUGGGGUUGGAGGUUUGUGGAAAUCCUAACUUUAACAAAAUGAUGGAGAAAUCACACGUUUACUAGAAACAAUAAAUCAGGGGAAUAAACCUCACUUAAUUAAAAUGAUGUAUAGAGCCUAUUAAAAUUUGUAAAAACCCGUUAUAUUAAUUGUGCCACUGGCUCACCCGCUAAGCAGCCAGUGGAGAGGUUCAUUUGAAGAAGAACUAAUACUCCUGGCCAAAGCCCUGUGAGCUUUCAAUUGACAGCCAGCACCAACUUAAUAGCCACAUGAAUGAGAAUCUUCAAAGUGGAUAUUUCAGCCUCCAGUCAAGCAAAACUGCUGAUGCCCCAUGGAAUAGAGAUAAACUUUUACUUAUAUAAUCCAAUUUCUUUUCAUUAAUUUACUUUAUAUUAUUUUAAAUCUAUUCUUUAGAACAGAGCUACCGAAAUAAAUAUAAUGCAAGCCUCAUUUAUAAUUUUACAUUUUCUGGUAGUCACAUUACAAAGAAUAAAAACAAACAGGGGAAAUCAGUUUGA
rnacentral:lncRNA from 10 species